rnacentral:rRNA from 1 species
UGCCAGCCGCCGCGGUAAUACGGAGGGUGUAAACGUUGCUCGGAAUUACUGGGCGUAAAGCGUGCGUAGGCGGCGCAUUAAGUCGGAUGUGAAAGCCCUGGGCUUAACCUGGGAACGGCAUUCGAUACUGGUGCGCUAGAGUCUGAUAGAGGGUAGCGGAAUUCCGGGUGUGGCGGUGAAAUGCGUAGAGAUCCGGAGGAACAUCUGUGGCGAAGGCGGCUACCUGGAUUAAGACUGACGCUGAGGCACGAAAGCGUGGGGAGCAAACAGGAUUAGAUA